GACGAACGCUGGCGGCGUGCUUAACACAUGCAAGUCGAACGGAAAGGCCUGCUUUCCCUUGUGGAUUGCGGGUACUCGAGUGGCGAACGGGUGAGUAACACGUGAGUGAUCUGCCCCCAACUCGGGUAUAAGCCUGGGAAACUGCGUCUAAUUCCCGAUAGGACUGCAGGGUGGUGCCUGUGGUGGAAAACGAUGUUCUAGCGGUUGGGGAUGAGCUGGCGGCCUAUCAGCUUGUUGGUGGGGUAAUGGCCUACCAAGGCGGGGACGGGUAGGCGGCCUGGGAGGGUGGACGGGCACAGUGGGACUGGGAUCCGGGCCGGACUCCUACGGGAGGCAGCAGUGGGGAAUAUUGCACAGUGGGCGGAAGCCUGAUGCAGCGACGCCUGGUGGGGGAUGACGGCGUUCGGGUUGUAAACUCCUUGCGACCGCGAGGAAGCCACCUGGUUGGAAGGGUGGUGACGGUAGUGGUAGAAGAAGCACCGGCUAACUACGUG
rnacentral:rRNA from 1 species